rnacentral:tmRNA from 1 species
GGGGGUGCACUGGCUUCGACGGGGGUUGCAAAAUCGCUUGGCGCAUGCCGAGGGGGUAGCUUUCCUCGUAAAUCCAGCUGCAAACUUCUAGUUGCCAACGACGACAACUACGCUCUGGCCGCUUAAGGCCUAAGCCCCGAAACUGCUUGUGUCCGUGCUCGCAGCGUAGGGUCAUCAUCACGGAAUCGCCGGGGACGGUUGCCUGUCAGUCCCUGGUUAACCCAAAACAGGCUGGUUCCUGGACGCGCUUCGCGCACCGUGCUGUUCCGGGACGAGAUCCAACGGUGAGCUAAGCAUGUAGUGCCGGGGAUGGAGUGCCUUCGGACGGGGGUUCAAUUCCCCCCACCUCCACCA